GGAGGGUGCAAGCGUUGUCCGGAUUUAUUGGGUUUAAAGGGUGCGUAGGCGGCCCGUUAAGUCAGUGGUGAAAGCCUCCAGCUCAACUGGAGAACUGCCAUUGAUACUGACGGGCUUGAGUACAGACGAGGUUGGCGGAAUUGAUUGUGUAGCGGUGAAAUGCAUAGAUACAAUCAAGAACUCCGAUUGCGUAGGGAGCUAACUAGGCUGUAACUGACGCUGAGGCACGAAAGCGUGGGGAGCGAACAGGAUUAGAUACCCUGGUAGUCCACGCUGUAAACGAUGAUUACUCGAUGUCGGCGAUAAACUGUCGGCGUCUUAGCGAAAGCGUUAAGUAAUCCACCUGGGGAGUACGCCCGCAAGGGUG
rnacentral:rRNA from 1 species